CCACUUUCUCUCUCCUAGGGUUUCAUUUUUUUCGUCAAAUUUUCAUCGAAUUGUUCUUAAUUUCGGUUUUGGUAGAAAGUUCAUGAUCGUAAAGUAGGAGAUCUAUUUAGUGGUGAUAUGAAGAGGUUUAUUGCAAUUGUAGUUGUGAUUAUGCAGAUUUUUAAAUGAAGCAGUCGUAAUCAUUUGAAGUUGAAAUCAAUGGAGAAAUUAAUAUAAGCAAUUCAAGUUUAAGAGAGAUGCAGGUGAUGAGGAGGGGAGAAGAGGGGCAACUGUUUAUAUCAAAUAUCUGACCAGUAGUAAACUGAUGGGUUUGGAGGACGACGAGCAUUUUAAGAAACCCGAUCAAGGAAGUUGAUGAAUGGAGGGCUAAAAAAAUUACCAAGCAAGGAUGUGUUGGGUUCACUUUUGAAUAAAAUGAGAGUUGUUGGUUAUGGUUUACUUGUAAAUUAUUCCAAUAAGUUCUUAUAUAAGUACUUGUAAAUUAUUUCAACAAUUUUUUUAUAUACUUGUAAAUUUUUUUUUGAAAGAUAUG